GAUCAUGUAAACAUUUUCAGUUUUCAAUUUUAAAACAAGUUAGUAUGUCUGAAAGCUACUAUUCAGCUGUAACUAGUACAAACAUUUUUCUUGAGUUACAAACAAAUGCAAUGAAAUUAAUAAGGCCUAUUUUUUCCUCUCAAAUUUUACACUCAAAUGAAAAUGGGCACUUUUUAUUUUCUCAAUGGAAAAGUAAUGCACUAAUGAUAAAUUGAACAGAAAAAUUUAAGAAAGUAAGACCCUCCUAUUACUUGUCAUCCUUUGCUGAGAUCCUGCCCACACCCUGAUUUGGCAUAGGGGUGCAGUAAAAAUAUUGGACCUUCAUAGCUGAAGGGGUGGGAAGUGAAGGGAAAAGCAGUUGGAUUAGAAAUAAAGAAGAUACAAAAUUAUUCCUCAAAGAGGAAUAAAAGGCCGGUGGACAUGCAAGCAGAUGCAGUCUCUCCGUGUUAACCAAAGAAAGGCAAAUUGCAACCAUGAGGAGAAGCUAAUUAUGGUCUCUGGAAUUGGUAAAGAGGAAAAUGAGUGGCAGGACCUGAUGUGGCAGGGAAGGUAGGGGGAGGGCCGACUUCUGCCGCACUGCUGGUGGGAGUGGUAAUUGGGGUCCUGAUCUCAUGGGUGACGUGGCCCUCACGUGAGCUGGAGCCGACGUGUGCAAACGUCCUUC
rnacentral:lncRNA from 1 species